CACACACACACACACACACAUGUGCACCUGUACACUCACAUGUGCCCCCACAAAUGAACCUGUGCACUCACAUGUGCCCCUACACACACAAAUGCACCUGUACACUCACAUGUGCCACUACACACACAUGCACCUGUGCACUCAAAUGUGCCCCCCCACAAAUGCACCUGUGCACUCACAUGUGCCCCUACACACAUAUGCACCUGUGCACUCACAUGUGCCCCCCCACAAAUGCACCUGUGCACUCACAUGUGCCCCUACACACACACACAUGCACCUGUGCACUCACAUGUGCUACCCCACAAAUGCACCUGUGCACUCACAUGUGCCCCUACACACACACAAAUGCACCUAUACACUCACAUGUGCCCCUACACACAUACACACAUGCACCUGUGCACUCACAUGUGUCCCCCCACAAAUGCACCUGUGCACUCACAUGUGCCCCUACAUACAUAUGCACCUGUGCACUCACAUGUGCCCCCCCACAAACACAAAUGCACCUGUGCACUCACAUGUGCCCCUACACACACACAUGCACCUGUGCACUCACAUGUGCCCCUACACACACACAAAUGCACCUGUACACUCACACGUGCCCCCACACACAAAUGCACCUGUACACUCACAUGUGCCCCUACAUACAAAUGCACUUGUGCACUCACAUGUGCCCCUCCACAGA
rnacentral:lncRNA from 1 species